AAAGAGUAACGGAGGCGCGCGAUGGUGGGCUCAGACCGGUCGGAAAUCGGUUGUUGAGUGCAAUGGCAUAAGCCUGCCUGACUGCGAGGUUGACAAACCGAGCAGAGACGAAAGUCGGUCAUAGUGAUCCGGUGGUCCCGCGUGGAAGGGCCAUCGCUCAACGGAUAAAAGGUACGCCGGGGAUAACAGGCUGAUGGUGCCCAAGAGUCCAUAUCGACGGCACCGUUUGGCACCUCGAUGUCGGCUCAUCUCAUCCUGGGGCUGGAGCAGGUCCCAAGGGUACGGCUGUUCGCCGUUUAAAGAGGUACGUGAGCUGGGUUUAGAACGUCGUGAGACAGUUCGGUCCCUAUCUGCCGUGGGUGUAGGAGAAUUGAGAGGAUCUGUCCCUAGUACGAGAGGACCGGGAUGGACGUACCUCUGGUGGACCUGUUGUGGCGCCAGCCGCAUUGCAGGGUAGCUAUGUACGGAAGGGAUAACCGCUGAAAUCAUCUAAGCGGGAAGCAC
rnacentral:rRNA from 11 species